GUUAUGUUUAGGUCUAACGUGGUGCUUGAUGCCUGGUGGUUUUUCAGUAGUAUAUAUUGACUACUUGUUGGCCCUGUAGAGAGGAUGACUUCAUUAGGGAGAGAUCAGCUAGAAAGUUGUUGUCGUUCUUAAAAUCGUUGCAUAUUGGAGUCAUUUGGAAUUCUUAAAAACAAACCAGAUUUUUGAGUUUCUCAAUUGAAUCAGAAUUUCUGGACCUCUGGCCCUCAGUCUAGGGAUAACGAAAGUUUGAAUUCAGGAAGAAAAUGUUGGGGAAGAAGAUAAAUGUGAACUAGAGGUCUGGACUUCCCAAGUGGAGAUGUUCAGUAGGCAGGAGAAAAUACAGGUCCAGCACUCAGAAGACAAGUAGAGGCCAGGUGUUGGGUAUGUGUAAAUGUUGAAGAGAAGUUGAGUCAAAUAAGGACUGAGAAGUGGCCGCUGAAUGUGACAAUUGGGUCAUACCUAUUUCAGUUUCAAGAGAGUCACAGGGGGAAAUGAAUGACUAGGAAGUAAGGGAAUAGAAACAGGGA
rnacentral:lncRNA from 1 species